rnacentral:rRNA from 1 species
UACGUAGGGGGCUAGCGUUAUCCAGAAUUACUGGGCGUAAAGCGCGUGUAGGCGGCUGGUUAAGUGUGAUGUGAAAUCCUCGGGCUCAACCCGAGAACUGCAUUGCAAACUGGCCUGGCUAGAGUGCAGGAGAGGGAAGCGGAAUUCCAGGUGUAGCAGUGAAAUGCGUAGAUAUCAGGAGGAACACCGAUGGCGAAGGCAGGUCUCUGGGCUGAUACUGACGCUCAUGCACGAAAGCGUGGGGAGCAAACAGG